UACGAAGGGGGCUAGCGUUGCUCGGAAUUACUGGGCGUAAAGGGCGCGUAGGCGGAUAUCUAAGUUGGGGGUGAAAUCCCGGGGCUCAACCUCGGAAUUGCCUUCAAAACUGGAUAUCUUGAGUUCGGGAGAGGUGAGUGGAACUCCGAGUGUAGAGGUGAAAUUCGUAGAUAUUCGCAAGAACACCAGUGGCGAAGGCGGCUUCCUGGUCUGUAACUGACACUGAGGCGCGAAAGCGUGGGGAGCAAACAGG
rnacentral:rRNA from 1 species